rnacentral:rRNA from 1 species
GGGGAAUCUUGCGCAAUGGUCUAACGACUGACGCAGCGACGCCGCGUGUGGGAGGACGCCUUUCGGGGUGUAAACCACUGCUGCCCGGGACGAACAGGGUCAUUCGUGACCCCUGACGGUACCGGGUGAGGAAGCACCGGCUAACUCCGUGCCAGCAGCCGCGGUAAUACGGAGGGUGCGAGCGUUGUCCGGAAUCAUUGGGCGUAAAGGGCGCGUAGGUGGCCCGGUCAGUCUUUGGUGAAAGCGCGGGGCUCAACCCUGCGUCGGCCAGGGAUACUGCCGCGGCUGGAGCACUGUAGAGGCAGGCGGAAUUCCGGGUGUAGCGGUGGAAUGCGUAGAGAUCCGGAAGAACACCGGUGGCGAAGGCGGCCUGCUGGGCAGUAGCCGAAAGGCUUUCAAGCUGACACUGAGGCGCGACAGCGUGGGGAGCAAAC